GACGAACCACCCAAACGUUAUUCGGAAUUACUGGGCUUAAAGGGUGCGUAGGCUGUGCGGAAAGUUGGGUGUGAAAUACCUCAGCUUAACUGAGGAACUGCGCUCAAAACUACCGUGCUCGAGGGAGACAGAGGUGAGCGGAACUUAGGGUGGAGCGGUGAAAUGCGUUGAUAUCAUCAGGAACACCGGAGGCGAAGGCGGCUCACUGGGGCUUUUCUGACGCUGAGGAACGAAAGCCAGGGGAGCGAACGGG
rnacentral:rRNA from 1 species